UACGUAGGGGGCUAGCGUUGUCCGGAAUCAUUGGGCGUAAAGCGCGUGUAGGCGGCUCGGUAAGUCCGCUGUGAAAGUCGGGGGCUCAACCCUCGGAUGCCGGUGGAUACUGUCGGGCUUGAGUACGGAAGAGGCGAGUGGAAUUCCUGGUGUAGCGGUGAAAUGCGCAGAUAUCAGGAGGAACACCAAUUGCGAAGGCAGCUCGCUGGGACGUUACUGACGCUGAGACGCGAAAGCGUGGGGAGCAAACAGG
rnacentral:rRNA from 1 species